rnacentral:rRNA from 1 species
UACGGGGGGGGCAAGCGUUGUUCGGAAUUACUGGGCGUAAAGGGCGCGUAGGCGGCCUGCUAAGUCACACGUGAAAUCCCUCGGCUCAACCGGGGAACUGCGUGUGAUACUGGAUGGCUGGAGUUUGGGAGAGGGAUGCGGAAUUCCAGGUGUAGCGGUGAAAUGCGUAGAUAUCUGGAGGAACACCGGUGGCGAAGGCGGCAUCCUGGACCAAUACUGACGCUGAGGAGCGAAAGCCAGGGGAGCAAACGGG